rnacentral:lncRNA from 1 species
AUAUUUUUAUUUAUUAUAUUUACCUGUGAAAUAUUUAUCUGUAUAAGAUUCUUAAAUUAUUGUUUGCUAUGAGUUUUACCUGAUACACAAGACGAUUCACAGAUGUACCUGUAUGAUGUAUAUAUUUUUAAGGCUUAUUUGUACGGUACAUGCAUUAUGUGAUCUUGUCAAAGUAUAUUUAUAUCUGUGUAAGGCUUGCCUGUUUAUAUAUUUACCUGUAAAAUAUGUAUUGGUAUAAUUGACUUGAUUUGGUGCUAUGAUUAUAUUUUAUAUUUUUGUUAUGGAAUAUGUUUAGUUAGUCUUGUGUAUAUUUGGUUUAUAUAACUAAUUUGGGACUUUUUAUGAUCUGUUUUAUUCCCAAGAACUUGUAAGUUAUAAAAACAAGAAAUAAUUAACAUAAAUAUGAUACCUCCUUUAGAAUGUAGAACAGAAAGUCACAGGACAAAAAGAUACCUCCUUUUUACCAUUGCUUUUCAUUGUCGUUUACAUAAAGGAAAGUAACUUAUGUCUGGUGAUAACUUUAUAGUAAAUUAUCAAUCUUAAUUGCAUACCUCCUGCUUUCCAUUGUGCUUAUCAUGACACAAAGGGUUCAUGAUAAUAAGUAGCAAGUAACUUUUGUCAGGUUAUAUUCAAGAAGGUGCUGUAUGACCCUGUAUGUUAUUCAAUUGUAAUUCUAUUAACUUUAUGAUCACCUAAAUAUUUAUUCAGGAAACAUAAUUGAGGAUAGUUCAAUUUGGUGAAAAUACUAUUUCUGAUGUAAUUUUGACAUAUGACAAACUAUGUCUCACAAUUAUUAUUCCAGGCAUUAUUUUUUUAAUCUUUUAACAGUUAAACCUGGGAACAGUAUGUUUAACAAAAAAUGAUUCUGAUAUGCUUUUUAGUAGAAAAUUGAUAAAAUCUCAGACUUUACGAGCCUUCUCCAGAUUUAUGGAUUUUGGUAGCGUCUGACUGAAAAACUAUAGGAACUGAUCAAUACAUAACCACUCAAUUAUAAUCGUAAAUAAAUAAGAGUUUUAUCAUUAUAGUUAAUUUAUUUUAUCAUAUGAAAUGACCCAAAUAAGUGUGAUUUAAUUGAUGUAAUGUGUUUUAUAAUGGUUUGUAAAUUUCGGAUUGCAAUGGACACCAUUUCUUUUUACCCCCUUUGCAUUCUGUAACCAUAAAUGUGAUUAUAAAAAAAUUGAAGUGACAGAUUACAAAUCUGAUUCAAUGGCAUUACCUUGAAACUUAGUUUGAAUGACAUUGUAUUGAAAAUAAAUAAAAAAGGCUCUCCUAAGUUACAGAGUUGUCAUUUUCAAACUAAAUGAGUAGAAUGGCAAUUUUUCAACCUUAUGUUUUAUCAGCAGGUUUCUGUGUCUUUGGGGAUAUUAUUACCAAUAAUUUACCUUGAAUAUGGAAAGAAACAUGACACAUAUUUAGAAGUUUACAAAGAAAAUUGUAAAACAUUUCUUCAUGAUGACAUGAUAAAGAUGGUAGAAAAUUAGGUAAUUGGUCUAGGACGGAAAUUUAUCUUUUUUUCAAAUUGAGAGGUCUCAUUGAAUUUCUAGUGACCUUAUAGGGGAUAAAUAGCUAUGUAAAACUAUCAUUAAUUUUUAAGUAGCAAUGCCAUGUAUUAAUACUAUGCUGUUACCUUGCCAUUUAUUAUCACUCCAAAUAUAUUUAACUAUGGGGACUUUAUAAUGCGGCUAUUUUUAUAGUGUUAUGCUACUGAACAAUAAAUAUUAUAGAAAAUGUAUAGAAAAUGAUAAAAGUUUUCAAGUGAUAAAAAUAGGAAAACAUAUCUAGGUAGUAUGCUGACCUAUUUGCUUUAUAUGUUGUUGGGUUUCUACCCCUCAUCUUCUUUUAUUAAUGUUUAGAUAGGAGAGUUGGCAUUCAUACCACAUCUUUUAGAUAGGACCAAAUUAUUUAUAGUCUACUACUUUAACCACACCAUACCUGAUUUUGUUUUGAGUUAAGGCAGGUUAUUGUAUUGAUGUUUUAUGUUAAUUCAAUGUUACUUUUAGUCCACAGUAGUUGUUAUUGUUAUGUUUUAUGUUAUUUCAAUGUUACUUUUAGUCCACAGUAGUUGUUAUUGUUAUGUUAUAACUUUAUAUUUGUUAUGUUAUGUGCCAUAUACUUUGUAUUUAAAUACUAGUAUUUUGUGCAUUUUAGCGGGUAAACAUAAGAACCAAGUCAUAAAAUUGUUGAAAUUAGUUUUGUUAUACCCUCCUAUAUUGAUGGCAUUUUAUAGAGUUAUAGAAAAUAUCCAGUAAUUGUAUCCUGCUCUUGCAUGUUAUAGGAGAGACCAUCCACCUAUUUAUAUAUUGCACCAAUUUGACAGUAAUAUCUUUAAGCACAAGUUCUCCUGAAUUACAAGAAAUAUUAGUAUUGCAGGGCAGGGGCAUCCUUUUGUUACUCCAAUCAAAGUUCUUGUUAAAUGUUUUAUUUGUUCAUAAUAAAGUUUUUUUGUUUUGUCAAAAUCCUAUUUGAUGUAAAAUGUGAUGGUUUUUUAUACCCUUUGUCUAAUUCCAGAAUGUACUGACAUAUAAAUCAAAGCUUUACAGCUAUAUUGUGAUAUUUCUUUGUAAUUAAAAGUUUUAAACUA